rnacentral:lncRNA from 1 species
GCAGUUUUCUUGAACAGAGAGAAAACACAGCUGGACUUUAGUUAGGAGGUGAGAGAGAGGUGGGGAGCAUGACUUCCUGUUUUGAACUAAACCAAACUCAAACUCUGGAGAGCUGCCUUAUGACACCAUUUUUUUCUUGAGCUUUUGUUCAUACCCCUAUCCCUCAGGGGCUCAGAGAUCCAGGCUUUGGGAUUCAGUCCUCAGCUGCCAGAUACCUGGUUGGGGGAUGGGGGUCACCUUGAACUCUCUGUGGUAUCAGGGUCUUUCUGGCAAAAGGGAAUGUGAAGUAACUAGUGGCAGGAGAUCCCAGCAUGGUCAAAAACAUUUCCAUGAGUUCUGGGAAGCAGGCUUCUUGAGCUUGGAAUGUCUGCUAGAAGCCAAAUCUUAAUCAAGGUCAUUUCUUAAGCAAGUUAUGGGGGUGGAGGAGUUCAGUGUGUUGGAUAAGGAGAACUUAGCUUGAAAACCCAUCUCUGCCACCUCACUGGGUUAGUGACCAAGUGCAAAUUAGAUAACCCUUUCCAGCCUGUUUCCUCAUCUACAGUGAUAACACUACCUAGGAGGAUUGCCUGGGGCAUACAAACCAUCCGGUAUUUAAAAAGCAAACCUUCUAAUAGGCAGUGAACUGGCUAUUACAGGAAACAGAGGGAAACAGGUAAAGGGGAGCAAUUUCAGACUAGCCUUAAAGACUGGGUCCAAAGCCGGGUUUGGGUUUCCUUUGGGCCGCUCCCUAUAAUCUAAGCUUCAUGGGAAGCCCAGGCUGGAGAAUAUGAGGUUGAGGUCAGCUUGGGCAACAGAGCAGGACCCCAUUUCAAAAAACCAAGUAAAACGAAACCAACAAAAGGGCUGGGUCCUGUUUCCAAAGGUUGCAAAAAAAAAAAAAGAAAUGCCCUAGGAAAGCACACAGAAAAAAACAGAAUGAAUACCUAUGUUUAUAAUGAAUACAAAUAAGAAUGGACAUUGAAAUAAAAAAGGAAAUAUUGUGAAUUUUCAUAAGGAAAUAAAUAAUAUUUAAAAUAUUUGUUUUUAUCAUU